UAUUACUUCAUUAUAUAUAGAAAAAAAAAACAUAGCGGCAAGGAGUACAAAUCUGAAUAUAUGGAACCUGGUAAAAAAAUAGGACAUUGAUAAUCCUAUCAAAAAACUAGGGACUGGUUAAAAAAACAACCUAUAUAAGGUUGUAAUGGCCAAGCCCCUGGGAAUAACAGGCACCACAACAACAGAAAUUUGCUCAAAGCAACUAAAGACUAAAAGACACAUAAUAGAAUACUUACAGUGAAAACACUAAAGACUCUUGAACAUGAAAAAAAACUACACAACUAGUGUCUGAUUCCUGCAAUGUAGCUAAGCACAAAAGAGGCAAAUGCGCGAUGAAUCUUGUCUAUCGCAGUUUUAGCUGAAUGAUUCAAACCGCCUGGCUCUCGAGGAGCAGCAUGAGUGAAAAUUUUAAUCUCAGUACUAGGUGACUGUAUUCUCAGGAGACCAUGGCAUGAUGGA
rnacentral:misc_RNA from 1 species